rnacentral:lncRNA from 1 species
GACUCUGAAGUUGUGGCAGAUGGAAGGUUCUCCCUACCUGCACUCUUUAUAGCAAGUCUCUUCUUGACUCCCACCAUCCACUCUUCCUGCCACAAAUAUCCAUUUCUACAUUUGUUUUAAAGGUACAACUUCUUGCAGUUUCUGUGGCUCUCUCCUCAUGAAAGGAAACUUAAAAGAGGCAAAUUUGGACCAAUUGCAAUCCUCAUCAGCUCAUUUGAUCUCUGGAACAUAAAAGUCAAGAAAGGUAUGUUUGGGGGAAACAACUGCAAGCUAACUCUUCAGGUUCACCCGAAGGCGACUAAUCAAACUGAGGUCCUAAGAUCAACAAGUCUCACUCACAAGCAAGGAGGCUAAGCAACAAAACCAUAAAUCUGAUGUCACCAAAAUCUUUAACAACAC